rnacentral:rRNA from 1 species
UACGUAGGUGACAAGCGUUAUCCGGAUUUAUUGGGCGUAAAGCGCACGCAGGCGGCUCUUCAAGUCCGACGUGAAAUCUCUCGGCUUAACCGGGAGCGGUCGUUGGAAACUGAAGGGCUUGAGGCGAUGAGAGGGGUGUGGAAUUCCCGGUGUAGUGGUGGAAUGCGUAGAUAUCGGGAGGAACAUCAGUGGCGAAGGCGGUUCUCUGGGCAUUACCUGACGCUGAGGAGCGAAAGUGUGGGGAGCGAACAGG